GCGGAAGUAGUUCAGUGGUAGAAUACAACCUUGCCAAGGUUGGGAUCUCGGGUUUGAAUCCCGUCUUCCACUCCA
rnacentral:tRNA from 2 species